UACGUAGGGUGCGAGCGUUAAUCGGGAUUACUGGGCGUAAAGCGCACGUAGGCGGAUAUUUAAGUCAGGGGUGAAAUCCCAGAGCUCAACUCUGGAACUGCCUUUGAUACUGGGUAUCUCGAGUAUGGAAGAGGUGAGUGGAAUUCCGAGUGUAGAGGUGAAAUUCGGUAGAUAUUCGGAGGAACACCAGUGGGCGAAGGCGGCUCACUGGUC
rnacentral:rRNA from 1 species